rnacentral:lncRNA from 1 species
AGUUUCCCUGGCCGUAAAACGCGGGCGAUGGCGCUCGAUGCCCCGGGAGACGCCGGGGUCCGCGGGCCCUUCCGGCACCGGGUCCUCCUUCAGGUUCGGGCACCCGGCUGCCUCCACGCGGGGCGAGCGCGGCGAUGGGAUCGGUCCGUGCUGCGCUCAGCCCCGCUUUCGCUAUCCCUCUGCUCCAGGGGCAGCAAAAUCAGCAGAUGAGCCCCCAGCGCGCCUGCGGCCCACACACUGCGGCCGUAACAGUUAAACAGACGGGGAACAUUCAUGUGCGUAGAGCUCUUCACGGGGCGAUACAGAAAUGUGUCGUUCUAAAGCGUUAACGACCUGCAAUUUGCAUAUCCUCCAACACAUGGAUUUUACUGAUUCAAUUAUGGAUGUGUGCAAAGAAUCUGCUGCUCGCUAUAUGGGAACACUUUCAGUUUCCCAAGUUAAAACAUGAAAUUGCACAUCAUCAUUUGGAUCCCCAAAGAGGAAAAGAAAAAUUCACAACCUGCCAGUGAAAUACUCAGGCCACUUGGAUGAAGACCGAGGUCCUCCAUAGAAUCCAGGUGUUAUUUACUAACUAAUCAGAAAUUAAUAUCAAAAUAGGACUUAAAAAUAACAAGGCUGUGUUAUUACAGCAGUCUUUCCAGUUGUGUACGCUUUACUAAUCUAAAUUGGGUAACAGAACUGGAGAAAAGGAAGACUACACAGACUUAUCAUAAGCUGUUAGUGAACGUGAUAGAAAUGCGUAAUUUGUUAAAGCGAAUUACAGCUCUGAUUUGUCAAAUGAGGAGGUGAAUUAUCCUAGGAUUUGCUAUGCUGUUGUGGCGUUAGAAGAUUGGAUCUUUAGCAGCAAAGGUAACCUCAACAAUAUUUUCUGCUUAAGAAAGUGCCUUGGUUAAGGUAGACCGUGAUAUCGUCUUUGACUAAGCUCUCUGGGCUAUUGAUUCUGUCAUAUUCCAAAGGCAGUAUUGGUUUGAAGCCGAAUCUCACGGUCAAUGUCAACAUGCAAUCCACAAAGACCCUGGCGCCCUUCCACGGUAUGCACUAACCAAAACUUUCUCACUGUGAAAUCCUUUUUUUAAAAACAAGAAAACAAAAAACAAAAACCAAAAAACCUUACUGUGAAUCCUUUCCCAAGGAAUGGUCCCACCUUCACCUCGGAAAGAGGCGUGGCUUGCUCUGUAAGCAGGUCCACCCUGAGGAGACCGCUGGUGCAAGAGCCCUGCUUGCAGAACACACAGGGGGUUUUCCCACAUUCUUACUGGAGUCAGAUUCGGCAAAGCAUUUCAAGCAACUGCUGGACACUUCAAAUACCACUCCCUGUUAACAACGCCCUGAGUAUCUCACUGUCUCCAGGAUCUGGUUUAAAGGGAAACACAGAAAUGGCCAACAGCUCCCUCCCCAGGCAGGACUGCGAUUUCACAGACAACCUAUAGGCAUCCCCAGUCUGGUGAAUAAACAGGAGAGUGAGAGGAAAACAGCAAUCAUUCAACUCCAGUAGAUGUAAAGCCUCCAGAAGAAUGUGUCCCGGGAAGGUCAGAAAUGUCAUUUUUUUCCUCCAGCACAUUUCAUCUGCCACAUUCCGCCGUCCGAUGUUUGAGGAAGGAGCCCCGCCUUUCCUUCAGGGGUUCUUGUCGCCAAGUUUGAUGGUGACAGUUUUCACUUCUGUGUAUUCGGCCAAAGCGUAUUCACCUCUGUGAUCACAGAAAAGAGGAAAAUUCAAAAUGGGUACAUCCCUUAGCCAUUGUGUAGAAACUGUUCUGAGGCUUCAUCAUUCCAUCAGGCCGUUGGAGGCUUAUGCAAAAGGUUAAAAUGUGACGACCUCAUGGAAUAAUAGCCAGGACUAUAACAGCACUAGUAAGUGUCAGUAGCUGCAUAUGUGACUUAAAUGUAAAUAUCAAGGUCUUCUUCUGUGUGAUGCUUUUGAAAUGGCCAGGACUAAGGGUUUCCCUUUAGAGAAUGAAGGGGAUUUUAAAAAAAGUAAAGAGGUGAAUUCCCUGGGGUGGCAAUAGAGAGCAAAACGAGAGAGCCUGGUGGACGGUGGGGUGUCUGUGAACGAGGGAGGGGCAGAAAUUACACUGGGUUGAUAACUUUUAGAUGGCAAUUGGGAGCUGCUUGAAGAGGAGACAGAAGAGGCAGAGGCCCAAAGCUAUUGGCUGGGGAUGUGGCCAGAGGACCAGUGGGAAGAACACCAAGGGCCUGAAGCUGGCCUCAGAGUGCACAGCUGGGGACCAGCUGUCAGGCAGUGAGGCCAGCCUAGGGGGCAUGAGAGAAGCAGACGUUAGCACAGAGUGGACAUGGGGAGGCCACAGCUUUUGGGUUCACAUCCUUGGUAUAGUUCCUUUCUUUAAAUCUUGCAGGGCUCAGGUGAUCCUUCCCUGGCACCAUGGGCCGUCUUCAGGGUAGCUUCCCUUCCAAGACCCAAGAGGCAGCUUUGGAGAGAUUUAAAUCCUUCUAAGCGCUUGAUCUGCUGUCAGGUGAAGAAAAAUGUGUGCUUGUUUAGGAAGAGAUGAAGGUAGAGGUGGCCACUGGAGUCUCUGUAGUUAAAAAGACCUGUGACAGAAUCCCAUCUCCUCCCUUAGAUCAAUGGUUCUCAAAGUGUGGUCCCCAGACCAGCAGCAUCAGCCUCACCUCUGAACUUGCUAGAAAUGUAGAUUCUCAGGCCUCCCCCAGCCCUACUAUCGUAGGCAGAAUAAGGAUCUCCCCAGGUAUCCAAAAUUGGAUCCCCCAAACCUGUGAAUAUGUUGGGCUACAGAGUGAAGAAUUAAUGUUGCAGAUGGAAUUCAAGUUACUAAUCAAUUGACUUUAAAAGAGGGAGACUCUCCUGGAUCAUCCAGGCAGACCCAGUGUAAUCACAAGGGUCCCCAAAACUGGCAGAAGAAGAGAGGCAGAGCAAAAUGAGAUUAUAGAAACAGGUUCAGAGAGCAGCAGUGCUGGCUUUGAAGAUGGAGGAUGGGGCCACCAGCCUAGGAAUGCGAGCAGCCUCUAGAGGAUGGAAAAGGCAAGGAAGUAGAUUCUCUCCUGAGAACCUCCAAAAAGGAAUGAAGCCCUUGAUUUUAGCUCAGGGAGACCUGUGUCAGAUUUUUAUCCUACAGAACUAUAAGAUAAUAGAUUUAUGUUAUUUAAGCCACUGAUGUUAUGGUAACUUCUUGCAGGAGCAAUAAAAGACUAAUAAACUUACUGAAUCAGAAA